GUAUUCAAAGAAUCCUUUAUAGUCUCAACUAUGCUCCUCCGCUGACCUCUGUCCGGCCUGAGGCUAAUCUCUAAGCUCGAGCUCCCGUCUCUCACUGUUAGAGAGUAAUAAUUCACUUCGUUCACCCAUCCUCGCCUACGCUAUGAAAUAGAUUGUUUUUCCAUAAAUAUGAGUUAUUAUUUUGCUUUUCGAUUAUUUUUUUGAUUCAAUGACACCGACGAGAAUGAUACUAAAAGAAAUAAUAUUAUAACUAAGCG
rnacentral:lncRNA from 1 species